rnacentral:rRNA from 1 species
UACGUAGGGACCAAGCGUUGUCCGGAAUCAUUGGGCGUAAAGAGCGUGUAGGCGGCUUGUUAAGUCUUGCGUGAAAUCUCGGGGCUCAACCCCGAGCGGUCGUGAGAAACUGGCAGGCUAGAGUGCGGGAGAGGAGAGUGGAAUUCCUGGUGUAGCGGUGGAAUGCGCAGAUAUCAGGAGGAACACCGAUGGCGAAGGCAGAUCUCUGGGCCGUAACUGACGCUGAGGAGCGAAAGCAUGGGAGCGAACAGG